rnacentral:rRNA from 1 species
GCUUACACAUGCAAGUCGAGUGCGCGGUUGUAGCAAUACAACUGGCGCACGGCGCACGGGUGCGUAACACGUGGGUAACCUGCCCUUUGGUGGGGAAUAACCUCGCGAAAGCGAGGCUAAUUCCGCAUAAGAUCCGCAAGGAUGAAAGCCGCAAGGCGCCGAUGGAGGGGCCCGCGCACGAUUAGCUAGUUGGUGAGGUAAAGGCUCACCAAGGCAAUGAUCGUUAGCUGGUCUGAGAGGAUGGCCAGCCACACUGGAACUGAGACACGGUCCAGACUCCUACGGGAGGCAGCAGUGGGGAAUCUUGCACAAUGGGCGAAAGCCUGAUGCAGCGACGCCGCGUGGGGGAUGAAGCUUCUCGGAGUGUAAACCCCUUUCGACCCGGACGAAUACCUCGCAAGAGGGGUGACGGUACGGGUAUAAGAAGCCCCGGCUAACUACGUGCCAGCAGCCGCGGUAAGACGUAGGGGGCCAGCGUUGUUCGGAAUUACUGGGUGUAAAGGGUCAGUAGGCGGUGUGGCAAGUUGGGAGUGAAAUCUAUGGGCUCAACCCAUAGGCUGCUUCCAAAACUGCUGUGCUUGA